rnacentral:rRNA from 1 species
CCUACGGUAGGCAGCAGUGGGGGCUAUUGGACAAUGGGGGAAACCCUGAUCCAGCGACGCCGCGUUAGUGAAGAAGUAUUUCGUUAUGUAAAGCUCUAUCAGCAGGGAAGAAAGAAAUGACGGUACCUGAGUAAGAAGCCCCGGCUAACUACGUGCCAGCAGCCGCGGGAAUACGUAGGGGGCAAGCGUUAUCCGGAAUUACUGGGUGUAAAGGAAGCGUAGACGGUAAUGCAAGUCUGGAGUGAAAGGCGGGGGCCCAACCCCCGGACUGCUCUGGAAACUGUGUAACUGGAGUGCAGGAGAGGGAGGCGGAAUUCCUAGUGUAGCGGUGAAAUGCGUAGAUAUUAGGAGGAACACCAGUGGCGAAGGCGGCCUGAUGGACUGUAACUGACGUUGAGGCUCGAAAGCGUGGGGAGCAAACAGGAUUAGAUACCCUUGUAGUC